CCAUCCCAGUUCGGAUCGCAGGCUGCAACCCGCCUGCGUGAAGUUGGAAUCGCUAGUAAUCGCGGAUCAGCAUGCCGCGGUGAAUACGUUCCCGGGCCUUGUACACACCGCCCGUCACACCAUGAGAGUCGGGAACACCCGAAGUCCGUAGUCUAACCGCAAGGGGACGCGGCCGAAGGUGGGUUCGAUAAUUGGGGUGAAGUCGUAACAAGGUAUC
rnacentral:rRNA from 1 species